GUGAAACCAUGCCUCCCAGUAAUGGGGUGUUUCUGCUUCCUGUCCCACUGUUGGUCAGCAGCUUUUUUCAGAGUGAGGUGAUCAGGGCUUCGUGUUGUGAGGAACCCAGGGUACAGUUGUCUCGCUGGAAGCUGGAUUGCCAGAUUGCCUCUGGGCAUUCAGAGAAGACAUCCCUCUGUCUUUGUGUGCCUGUGAAUGAGAGUGGAAAAAUGCAGCUCCUUGGAGAUGCUGUGCUGGGCUGGUAUGGGAGCAGAAACUUGCAUGUGAAUCAGAGAUAGACCACAGAGUGCAGGUGGCUGAGGGGGAGGGACCUUGCUGAAACUGGAAUUCAGUGCCUAAGUCAGGUUUAUGAACUGUCUAGUUUUAGGUAUUUGAUUGGUGGUAACUCCUUGAAGCUUGUCUCUGCUUUUGGAUCUGCACCCAAGGAUCCUAGUGGAUCAGCCAGGAUCUCUACUGCUGCUCUAAUAAAUGUUUCCAAGGUUUAUUAAAUGUGCUCUCUGACGUUCUUUUGUGGAGACAGUAAUUUGACAGUCAUCACGUGAGAAACUCUGAAUUUGCCAUCUGGCCUGGCAAGACUUAGUUCUUCUCACCAUUAAUUAAACUGACGUUACUGCACGCUUUUAUGAUGGUGGUUAUGAUCUGUCCUGCGAUAACACCAGGGCUGGUUCUGAGGCAUGCACAGCACCUUCCACUCGCAUGACGUUUGUGGGUGGUGCAGCCGAGCACCUCUGGACUUCAGUGUCAGCUCUAAUAACUGAGUUUCAGGGCCCCACUCAGGCACCUUCCCCUGGAGCGGGUUCUUCUGGUUCUGAGGGGAUGGUUUCACAAGUAGGAAGAUAUAGCUAGGGGGGAAGAAGGGGGCAGCUGCUUGGCUGUAAUAGAGUUGUAUAACAUGCCCUGACAGGAGAUCUUACUGACCACAGCUUUGCCCUGCUUGGUGAGACCGUGACCAUUAAUGGGAAAGUGGAUUGGCAGCAACAGAUAGAGCAGUGAGCGAAAAGAGAGGAAGGAAGUGAAAUAGGACGACAGCCGAAGACAGCUGCAAAAAGCAGACCCAACUCCAGGCGCUGGAUGGCAGAGUGUUUCCCGUCUUCAGUGGUCUCCAAACUGUGACUUGGCAAAUGGACUGAGACUGUCGAGGGGGCCCUCUUCAGAGGAACUGGACAGAAGAAAAGAGCUGCUGCCCUGGACGCUGGGCUUGUCCCAGGAUGGUCAUCCUAUACCUGCUUCAGCUGUGUGAGAGCCAGAGGCUAGAGUGACGGCAGGAUGUCCCCUCUUCUCCCAUUAGUGCAGCCAGAUGGGGACAGACAGGUUAUGUGACAUGCUCCAGGUCACAUGAGCAGUGUGUGUCAGAGUGAGAAACAGCACCUGGAUCUCUCAAUUGUGAAGCUGUUGCUCUUGGCACUGCAUCAUCCUUACUGCAAACAAAACAUUGAGGUUGACUUUGCCUGUGUCCUUCUUAUGCCUACAAAUGGUAAGGUUUUUGAACAAAUCAAAGAAAGCAAAAAGAGUCACUCCUCCAAUUUGUAUGUCCAAUCCUCUCUAUGCAGUGGCAUAAUGUACCCUAGAGGAGCCUGUAAUUAAUACAAGUAAUUACCCCUUGCUGCAAAGACUCUGCAACAUCAUUGGUUAAGAAUCUAGAUGAAACUUUCACCUUGUUUACUGAGUGCUUCAUGCUGUGUGAUUCAAGGUGGAUUGGGAUGAUAUCUGCAGGAAAAAUUAACUUAGAACCAAGAUGAACACUGCAAAAGUCUUGGUGCCAUUGUCUUGGCCACCACUUAAGCUUUAAUAGAAAUAGAGAGAAGGCAGAGAAAUAAUUAGGUAGGAAAUGGUUACCUGUCGUAAAGGAGUGUUUGUCACAGUUUGCUUUCUUCACUCAAAAAGAUUUAAUAUAAAAGGAUUGGAUGUUGAUGGCUUGUAGGCAUAAGAGCAUGUGUAGGUUCUAGGCAUGUUCUUCUUGGUCUUCAGCUACACUGAAGAUUGUCAAGACUGGAAUUUUCCAAAGAGCCCAAGGGACCAUUAUUCCCAAUGCAGAAGAUGCCUGGAGUGCAUCCCAGUUUAAGGCCAAGUCUCAAUGGCAGAACUAUCCUUUGGAUUCCAGUUCCCAAACCUGCUACUGCUCCAGAUAUGUACAGUGGACUGCUGCUUUUAACCUGGUAGUGUUGCCAGAGAAACCAGGUUCCUAACAUUUCAUGACACCAAAGAAAUACCCAUUAAUUGAAACUCCUUAGGCAAACAGCUGCUUCUGCUUGCUGUGGCUCUAUUUUCAGCUCUUAGCUCUGAAGUGAAGCUGACAAUUUUUGCUGGUUUCUCAGACCUCCUAUUGAGUUUUUCUAAUUAAUAUUUUUGAACUACUUAGACGUUCUCAAGUCUAUGGUGAUCCAGAGAAUUAUUAUUACUGCUGGUAUUAUUAAGGCUAAUAAUACUGCUAAUAACCUCAGUGAGCUUGGCAGAAUUCAGUUUGAACUCCUUGCGGCAGAUGAAGAAAGCUAACUUUGGUAAUGUGAAGGGUACGUGACUGAAUUACCAGUACCUGCUGUUUACAGGGGGCAGGAAGAGUAUAUUUGCUCAAAUGAAAAAGGUCAAGGCAGAGGCCCAUUUGCUGUUUGUUAAUAAGUAAUCUGAAGUACAACACAGCUUUACUGUAACAAAUCAGCCUAGCUUAGAUGUCCUUCCAUCACCAUUAUAUCCAACGCAAUUCUAGACGAAAAUGCCAGUUUAGAAAUAAUCCAUGUUCUCACAGAUUAUUUUCAACAUCUGUGCAGAGGAUUUGCAGCUGGGGAUCCACAGCAGCAGUAGCAAAAGAACCUUCCAUAUUUUGCCAGUGCUUGUCUCAGAAACUGAGCAAAGGAUGAAAUACUAGACAGAGCAUUAUUUGUCUCCCGGGAAAUUCUCCCGUAGACUCAGUCAGACCUGUGCAUCUUCCCUGUGGAAGUAUGCCAGUCCAGAGCUGUGGUGGUAGCUGGCCUGCUUACUGCACCCUGCAAAGGUACUGAUGUAACCUACAAAACCACCUAUGUCAUCUCAAAGCCUGGCCCAUAGUCAACAGUU